rnacentral:lncRNA from 1 species
UACUGUAAGCGAAUUUCACCUGAGCUUCUAGUAUAAAUAAAUUUCUUCCGAACUUCUAUUACAGGCAGAUUUCAAUCGAGCUCCUAUAGUGGAUGGAUCCCAGACGAGCUUCUACAAUGGUACAGGAUCCACCGACCAGGUCGCUACUUCGAGCUCCAACAACAAACGAUCUUCGAUCGAGUUUCUAUAAUAAGCGGUCCCCUUUCGACCUUCUACAAGGACCAGACUCCGUCCAAACUUCCAUAGUGGGUGGAUAUCGGACGAGCUUCUAUGAUGGACGGACUCUGACAGCUGGAUCUCUACAAUGACCGAUCACCCCUGG